rnacentral:rRNA from 1 species
ACGCUCGACACCUACGAGAGGCAGCAGUCGGGAAUAUUGCGCAAUGGAGGAAACUCUGACGCAGUGACGCCGCGUGCAGGAAGAAGGUUUUCGGAUUGUAAACUGCUUUAGACAGGGAAGAAUAAUGACAGUACCUGUAGAAUAAGCUCCGGCUAACUACGUGCCCGCAGCCGCGGUAAUCUGAGCGGGCUGGCAAGGC